UACGAAGGGGGCUAGCGUUGUUCGGAAUUACUGGGCGUAAAGGGCGCGUAGGCGGUACUUCAAGUCAGGCGUGGAAGCCCCGGGCUCAACCUGGGAACCGCGCUUGAGACUGGAGAACUAGAGUUCGGGAGAGGAUGGUGGAAUUCCCAGUGUAGAGGUGAAAUUCGUAGAUAUUGGGAAGAACACCGAUGGCGAAGGCAGCCAUCUGGACCGACACUGACGCUGAGGCGCGAAAGCGUGGGGAGCAAACAGG
rnacentral:rRNA from 1 species